rnacentral:lncRNA from 1 species
CUCUCUGCUCUUCCCCAGCCUGCGCUGCUCCAGCUCCACGUGCGCCCGGGGAUGCAAUGCAGCCCUGCAGACAAGCGUCUCCGGCAGGACGUGGGCCGCGGGUCUCGGAGCCUCCUUCACUUAGGUACAAACAAUCGUCGCCGCAGGGGCCGGACCCCAGUCCGAGCUCCGAGACAGGGUCUCGCUAUGUUGUUCAGGCUGCCCUCAAACUCCUGGACUGAAACGAUCCUCUCAUCUCAGCCUCCAAAAGUGCUGGCAUUACAGGUAUGAGUCACUGUGCCCCACUAAGAUGAGUGUUUUCUAUUGUUUAAUUAAUUUAUGUUUUGAGACAGAGUUUCACUCUGUUGCCCAGGCUGGAGUGCAGUGGCACGAUUUCAGCUCACUGCAACCUCUGCCUCCCAGGGUUCAAGCAAUUCUCCUGUCUCAGCCUCCCGAGUAGCUGGGACUGCAGGCCUGCACCACCACACCUGGCUAAGUUUUGUAUUUUCAGUAGAGAAGGGGUUUCACUAUGUUGGCCAGGCUGGUCUCGAACUCCUGACCUCAGGUGAUCCGCCUGCCUCGGCCUCCCAAAGUGCUGGGAUUACAGGUGUGAGCCACUGCGCCCAGCCUAUUUAUUUAUUUACUUAUUUAUUUACUUUAUAUAUUUUUUGGAGACAGAGUGUGGCUCUGUUGCCCAGGCUGGAGUGCAGUGGUGCAAUCUCUGCUCACUGCAACUUCUGCCUCCCGGGUUCAAGCGAUUCUCGUGCCUCAGCCUCCCUAGUAGCUGGGACUACAGGUGUGUGCCAUGAUGCCCAGCUGAUUUUUGUAUUUUUAGUAGAGAGGGGUUUCACCAUGUUGGCUAGGCUGGUCUCGAACUCUUGGGCUCAAGUGAUCCACCCGCCUCGGCCUCCCAAAAUGCUGAGAUUACAGACCUGAGCUACUGUCCCCAGCCAGAAGACAUAACUUUUAGAGGCUACAGGAUCUGGGUACAGAGUGAGAGUGGCAAAAGGCAGGGCAGGGGUUUGGGAGAGGGUUGCAGAGAACCCCGAGGGAGAAGCUGAAUAAGAGAAGGGGAGACUGGGCCUGCAUCGGGGAGGGAGGAGGGAAUUCCCAGCUCCAGCCUGGUCUGCCUGGCUCCAGUGAAGCCGGCUGUUUCCUGCCCUCGGUGACCGGCCCACCCCCCCCAACCCGGGCGCAGGACCCAGGCAGAACAGCAAGGAAGGGCAGGGGUGUGGGGAACACCUCUUGCAGCAGGAAGAUAAGUAAGCCGGGACAAGAGGUUAUCACAGGCCCGGCUGUCCUUUCUGGGACGUAAGGGCGCUUGGCAGCCCCCCAAGCAUCCUGGACUCCAACGUCUCUCUUGCUGGGCUCCAACGUCUCUCUUGC